rnacentral:rRNA from 1 species
GUGGGGAAUAUUGGACAAUGGGCGAAAGCCUGAUCCAGCCAUGCCGCGUGUGUGAAGAAGGUCUUCGGAUUGUAAAGCACUUUAAGUUGGGAGGAAGGGCAGUAAGUUAAUACCUUGCUGUUUUGACGUUACCGACAGAAUAAGCACCGGCUAACUUCGUGCCAGCAGCCGCGGUAAUACGAAGGGUGCAAGCGUUAAUCGGAAUUACUGGGCGUAAAGCGCGCGUAGGUGGUUUUGUAAGUUGGAGGUGAAAUCCCCGGGCUCAACCUGGGAACUGCCUCCAAAACUGCAUGACUAGAGUACGGUAGAGGGUAGUGGGAUUUCCUGUGUAGCGGUGAAAUGCGUAGAUAUAGGAAGGAACACCAGUGGCGAAGGCGACUACCUGGACUGAUACUGACACUGAGGUGCGAAAGCGUGGGGAGCAAACAGGAUUAGAAACCCGUGUAGUCC